GACGAACGCUGGCGGCGUGCCUAAUACAUGCAAGUUGAGCGCUGAAGGUUGGUACUUGUACCAACUGGAUGAGCAGCGAACGGGUGAGUAACGCGUGGGGAAUCUGCCUUUGAGCGGGGGACAACAUUUGGAAACGAAUGCUAAUACCGCAUAAAAACUUUAAACACAAGUUUUAAGUUUGAAAGAUGCAAUUGCAUCACUCAAAGAUGAUCCCGCGUUGUAUUAGCUAGUUGGUGAGGUAAAGGCUCACCAAGGCGAUGAUACAUAGCCGACCUGAGAGGGUGAUCGGCCACAUUGGGGCUGAGACACGGCCCAAACUCCUACGGGAGGCAGCAGUAGGGAAUCUUCGGCAAUGGACGAAAGUCUGACCGAGCAACGCCGCGUGAGUGAAGAAGGUUUUCGGAUCGUAAAACUCUGUUGGUAGAGAAGAACGUUGGUGAGAGUGGAAAGCUCAUCAAGUGACAGUAACUACCCAGAAAGGGACGGCUAACUACGUG
rnacentral:rRNA from 1 species